AGCUUGUUGGUGAGGUAAUGGCUCACCAAGGCGACGACGGUUAGGUGGUCUGAGAGGACGAUCACCCACACUGGGACUGAGACACUGCCCCGACUCCUACGGGAGGCUGCAGUCGAGAAUCUUCCGCAAUGGGGGCAACCCUGACGGAGCGAUGCUGCGUGCCGGAUGAAGGUCUUCGGAUCGUAAACGGCUGUCACUCGGGACGAAUUUUGACGGUACCGAGAGAGGAAGCCACGGCUAACUACGUGCCAGCAGCCGCGGUAAUACGUAGGUGGCGAGCGUUAUUCGGAUUUAUUGGGCGUAAAGGGUCCGUAGGGGGUUGCGCGUGUCUGGUGUGAAAUCCCACGGCUCAACUGUGGAACUGCAUUGGAAACUGUGCAACUAGAGUAUCGGAGAGGUAAGUGGAAUUCCUGGUGUAGCGGUGGAAUGCGUAGAUAUCAGGAAGAACACCGAUGGCGAAGGCAGCUUACUGGACGAUAACUGACCCUGAGGGACGAAAGCUAGGGUAGCAAACAGGAUUAGAUACCCUGGUAGUCUUAGCUGUAAACGUUGUGCACUAGGUGUAGGCGGAUUUGGUCCCGUCUGUGCCCCAGUUAACGCGAUAAGUGCACCGCCUGGGGAGUACGGCCGCAAGGCUAAAACUCAAAGGAAUUGACGGGGGCCCGCACAAGCGGUGGAGCAUGUGGCUUAAUUCGAGGCAACGCGAAGAACCUUACCUGGGCUUGACAUAUAGCCGAUCGCCCUGGAAACAGGGUUUCUCUUCGGAGCGUCUAUACAGGUGCUGCAUGGCUGUCGUCAGCUCGUGCCGUGAGGUGUUCGGUUAAGUCCGGCAACGAGCGCAACCCAUGCUGCCAGUUACCAGCGAGUGAGGUCGGGGACUCUGGCAGGACUGCCCGUGCUAAGCGGGAGGAAGGCGUGGACGACGUCAAGUCCGUAUGGCCCUUACGCCCAGGGCUGCACACGUGCUACAAUGGCCGGUACAGAGGGACGCCACUCCGCGAGGAGGAGCCAAUCCCGAAACCCGGCCCCAGUUCGGAUUGGAGUCUGCAACUCGACUCCAUGAAGUCGGAAUCGCUAGUAAAGGCGUAUCAGC
rnacentral:rRNA from 1 species